AUUGAACGCUGGCGGCAUGCCUUACACAUGCAAGUCGAACGGCAGCGGGGACUUCGGUCCGCCGGCGAGUGGCGAACGGGUGAGUAAUGUAUCGGAACGUACCAUUCAGUGGGGGAUAACUAUCCGAAAGGAUAGCUAAUACCGCAUAUUCUGUGAGCAGGAAAGCCGGGGAUCGCAAGACCUGGCGCUGAUUGAGCGGCCGAUAGCAGAUUAGCUAGUUGGUGAGGUAACGGCUCACCAAGGCUACGAUCUGUAGCGGGUCUGAGAGGAUGCUCCGCCACACUGGGACUGAGACACGGCCCAGACUCCUACGGGAGGCAGCAGUGGGGAAUUUUGGACAAUGGGCGCAAGCCUGAUCCAGCCAUGCCGCGUGAGUGAAGAAGGCCUUCGGGUUGUAAAGCUCUUUCGGCCGGGAAGAAAUCGCAUCAGCUAAUACCUGGUGUGGAUGACGGUACCGGAAUAAGAAGCCCCGGCUAACUCCAUGCCAGCCGCCGCCGUAAAAC
rnacentral:rRNA from 1 species